rnacentral:rRNA from 1 species
AUUGAACGCUGGCGGCAUGCCUUACACAUGCAAGUCGAACGGCAGCACGGGGGCAACCCUGGUGGCGAGUGGCGAACGGGUGAGUAAUGCAUCGGAACGUGUCCUCUUGUGGGGGAUAACCAGUCGAAAGAUUGGCUAAUACCGCAUGAGAUCGAGAGAUGAAAGCGGGGGACCCGAGGGUAACUUCGGGCCUCGCGCGAGAGGAGCGGCCGAUGCCGGAUUAGCUAGUUGGUGGGGUAAGAGCCUACCAAGGCGACGAUCCGUAGCUGGUCUGAGAGGACGACCAGCCACACUGGGACUGAGACACGGCCCAGACUCCUACGGGAGGCAGCAGUGGGGAAUUUUGGACAAUGGGCGCAAGCCUGAUCCAGCCAUGCCGCGUGUGUGAAG